rnacentral:rRNA from 1 species
CAUGUUAGUCGAGGGUACCUCUUCUUCUUCGGAGGAUGAGGUAACCCAGGCGGACGGCUCAGUAACACGUGGAUAACUUGCCCUUGGGUCUGGGAUAACCCCUGGGAAACUGGGGCUAAUACCGGAUAGAGCAUCGAUCGCUGGAAUGCCUGAUGCUCGAAAACUACGGUGCCCAAGGAUAGGUCUGCGGCUGAUUAGGUUGUUGUUGAUGUAAUGGACCAACAAGCCUACGAUCGGUACGGGUUGUGAGAGCAAUAGCCCGGAGAUGGGUUCUGAGAAAAGAACCCAGGUCCUACGGGACGCAUCAGGCGCGAAAACUUUACAAUGUGCGAAAGCACGAUAAGGGAACUCUGAGUGCCCCCUAAGGGGGCUGUUCUAGUGUCUAAAAAGCAAUAGAAGUAAGGGCUGGGCAAGACCGGUGCCAGCCGCCGCGGUAACACCGGCAGCCCAAGUGGUAGCCACGUUUAUUGGGUCUAAAGCGUUCGUAGCCGGCUUGGUAAGUUCCUUGGUAAAUUUAGCCGCUUAACGGUUAAGCUUUCAGGGAAUACUGCUUGGCUUGGGACUGGGAGAGGUCAGAGGUACUUCAAGGGUAGGGGUGAAAUCCGUUAAUCCUUGAGGGACCACCCGUAGCGAAGGCGUCUGACCAGACCGGGUCCGACGGUGAGGGACGAAGGCUAGGGUCGCGAACCGGAUUAGAUACCCGGGUAGUCCUAGCUGUAAACGAUGCGGGCCAGGUGUUGGCAUUACUGCGAGUGAUGUCAGUGCCGAAGGGAAGCCGUUAAGCCCGCCAUCUGGGGAGUACGGUCGCAAGGCUGAAACUUAAAGGAAUUGGCGGGGGAGCACCACAACGGGUGGAGCCUGC